UCUCUUGCAGCCAGGCCACCUCAAAGCGCUACCCCAUACCUGUUUCAUCCCGUCCUGGACCUGUCCUGUCCUGGACUGUAUUCAUCAGAGGAAGCCUCCAACAGGGUUUCUCUGUGUAGCCUUGGCUGUCCUGGAGCUCGCUCUGUAGACCAGGCUGGCCUUGAACUCACAGAGAUCUGCUUGUCUUUGCCUCCUGAGUGCUGGGAUUAAAGGUGCUAAGAACCACACUCAGAGCAUUAUCCAUUCCAUACUACAUGCAUGUUCUGUCACUGAGCUAGACCCUCAGCCUUCCCUGAACCCUUCCCUGCCCGGCUCCCCUAAGCAUGGAGAGAGAGCUCUGUGGAAAUCCCUUCUCAGCACUGAGGCCAGAUUACAAAUGGAGACCAUUGUCCAUCUCAGAAAGAAUGACUGGGGACCAGGACACACCUGAUCGUACUUCUGUGUAAGCUAACAACUGUCCCUGUGCUCAUUUGGACUCCAAGAGACUGCCUCCAGAACCAGGCACUUUCUGAUAAAAUUGUCUAAAUGUGUCUAUUCUCUCCUCCCCUAUAGAAAAAGAGACACCUAAGCCUCCAAGUGACGUUGGUUGGGUAGGUAAUCGCACCCCUGUGAGUUCUCCAGUAUAGGGGUUUAACUUUUUAUCCUAGUUAAUAUUCCUCAGUUUGUUUUGGCAAACUUUCAAAGGACAGAAGGAAAUCUUCCUUUACCCCCACACUACCCAAUUAGAAACAUCUGUGAAAGCUUACUGGGCUGCACUCUUAAGAAGAGGGCAUUUUAUCGUAUGUAAUCUGUACUAUAUUAAGACAGUAAUACAAGAAAGUAAGCAGGAAUGAGGUGAACACCCCUGCACUGUGAAUCUGGACACAGCCUCCUCACAGGCAGAAGGCUGUUGCACGCUCUACUGUGUGAGGCUUUGGGUGGAGACAUCGGAUGAGGAGAGACGGGCAGCCGGGAGGUGGACUCCCAAAAGCGAUUGCUUGAGAGGCCAGAGGAGCUUCUGCCUGGGAAGACGAUACGGAAGAGGUGAUGGAAGAGGAUCUAGAAGAUGAGCCGGGGACAGCUAGGUCAGACUCAUCAUCCCCUUUCUCUCCUAACUUCUGUCCCCAGCCUCACACAUUCUCCACUUCCUUCUGAGGAAGUCCAGCUCAGACGCCGUGAAAGCCAGACGACUUUAUCCGAGGUCUAAGAACUGCAGCUGGGCAAAAUACAGAUGGGACAGUUACGAGGGAGUGCUUCACAGUGAUUCAUCACAGACUUUAAGUCCAGAGGGAGAGCCACAGUUACAUGGGAGGAGGGUCACUGUCAGAGAGACACACCUCUCACCCGCCCCGGCUACUGGUCCUGGCUGCACCCCAUUGGUUGAGCUGUCUGCACGGGUAAAAAGUUCGUUAGUCGUUUGUGAGCCUGCUGUAUCCAAUAAAAGACAUUAAUACCUUCCAA